GAUGAACGCUGGCGGCGUGCCUAAUACAUGCAAGUCGAACGCUGGAGAUCUAGCUUGCUAGAUCGAAGGAGUGGCGAACGGGUGAGUAAUACAUAAGCAACCUACCCACGAAGACUGGGAUAAUCUCUGGAAACGGGGACUAAUACCGGAUAGGUAAUCGGAAGGCAUCUUCUGGUUAUUAAAGGUUAAAAACACUGGUGGAUGGGCUUAUGGCGCAUUAGUUAGUUGGUGAGGUAACGGCCCACCAAGACGAUGAUGCGUAGCCGGCCUGAGAGGGUGAACGGCCACAUUGGGACUGAGACACGGCCCAGACUCCUACGGGAGGCAGCAGUAGGGAAUUUUCGGCAAUGGGGGCAACCCUGACCGAGCAACGCCGCGUGAGUGAAGACGGCCUUCGGGUUGUAAAGCUCUGUUGUAAGGGAAGAACGGUAGAUAGAGAAUAUCUAAGUGACGGUACCUUACCAGAAAGCCACGGUUAACUACGUG
rnacentral:rRNA from 1 species